rnacentral:snRNA from 1 species
GUGCUCUUUAAGCAGCACACACACCAAAAUCGGAACACUGAAAUUAGCAUGGUCCCUGCGCAAGGAUGACACGCAAACUCGUGAAGCAUUCCAUGAUUUU